UCAUUAAUGGGCCCGUGCCCUCCGGGGUACGCGACCACCCUUGCGUAUAUAUCCUGUUGCUUUGGCGGGCCGCCCCCGGGCGCCGGCUCGCGCCGGAGCGUGCCCGCCAGAGGACCCCAACCCUGCGUGUUAGUGUCGUCGGAGUACUAUAGAAUAGUUAAAACUUUCAACAACGGAUCUCUUGGUUCUGGCAUCGAUGAAGAACGCAGCGAAAUGCGAUAAGUAAUGUGAAUUGCAGAAUUCAGUGAAUCAUCGAAUCUUUGAACGCACAUUGCGCCCGCUGGUAUUCCGGCGGGCAUGCCUGUUCGAGCGUCAUAUAAACCCAUCCGGCGUGCCGGGUCUUGGGCGCCGCCCCCGGGCGCGCCUCAAACGCAGUGGCGGUGCCGCCGGGCUCCGAGCGUAGUACAUACCCUCGCUAUGGACCCCCGGUGAGCGCUGGCCAGGAACCCCAUCUCUCAGGUUGACCUCGGAUCAGGUAGGGAUACCCGCUGAACUUAAGCAUAUCA
rnacentral:rRNA from 1 species